ACGGAAGGCAGCAGUGGGGAAUAUUGCACAAUGGGCGCAAGCCUGAUGCAGCGACGCCGCGUGAGUGAAGAAGUAUUUCGGUAUGUAAAGCUCUAUCAGCAGGGAAGAAAAAAGAGACUUCGUGUCUUUAGACGGUACCUGACUAAGAAGCCCCGGCUAACUACGUGCCAGCAGCCGCGGUAAUACGUAUGGAGCAAGCGUUAUCCGGAUUUACUGGGUGUAAAGGGUGUGUAGGCGGCAUGGCAAGUCAGAAGUGAAAGACCGGGGCUCAACCCCGGGGCUGCUUUUGAAACUGUCGUGCUUGAGUCCAGGAGGGGCAAGCGGAAUUCCUAGUGUAGCGGUGAAAUGCGUAGAUAUUAGGAAGAACACCGGUGGCGAAGGCGGCUUGCUGGACUGGGACUGACGCUGAGGCACGAAAGCGUGGGGAGCAAACAGGAUUAGAUACCCUGGUA
rnacentral:rRNA from 1 species